rnacentral:tRNA from 1 species
GAAUGUGUAGCUUAAUAGGAUAAAAGCAUUAAACUUUUAAUUUAAUUAUUUUUAGGUUCAAAUCCUAAGACAUUCA